UUUCCGUAGGUGAACCUGCGGAAGGAUCAUUGUCGAAGCCUGCCCAGCAGAACGACCCGCGAACUUGUAUAAACAACUGGGGGCGGGGGGCGUUCUCGCCCCGUGCCCCCGAACGGCGGGGAGACACUCGUGCCUUCUUGCCGAACAACGAACCCCGGCGCGGUCUGCGCCAAGGAACUUCAACUAAAGAGUGCCUCCGGUCGCCUCGGAAACGGCGUGCGUGCCGGAGGCGAAUCUUGUGCAAAACCAUAACGACUCUCGGCAACGGAUAUCUCGGCUCUCGCAUCGAUGAGGAACGCAGC
rnacentral:misc_RNA from 1 species